GCCCAUCUUCCUCUACUUUAUAUGUGGGAUGCCUGCCACAGCAUGGCUUGACAAGCUGUGCCAUGUCCACACCCAGGAUCCAAACUGGCAAACUGCAGGCCACUGAAGCGGAACAUGUGAACUAAACUGCUGGGCCACCAGGCCAGCCCCUGCAUUUCCCUGAAGACUGGCCCUGAGCGAACAUCUGUGCCCAUCUUCCUCUACUUUAUACGUGGGACGCCUGACAGUGCAUGGUUUCAUAAGCGACUCCAGGUCUUGUUCUGCACUGGCCCCACCGCUGCCCUGAGGACCAGCAGAUGCCGAGACCUGAAUUCAAAGCCAGCCCCUCUGCCUGACACAUCUGUGGCUGCCUUUGGAGAACAGCUCAUCGUGAGCUUGCAAAGUGAUGCAGCCUACUUAGGGAGCACUCUGCAGAAUUGCUGACACUGAGCAGGGGCUUUGGUGGACACUGGCUCCCCACAACCCAGCCCGCCAGGUCAGACGUGUGAAAAGGGCCAUUCAGGUUCAUGAAAGGCUUGUUGACAUUAACAGUGUAGGCGAUCACUUCAGCAACAUCUGACGGUGAAAAUAACCUAUCUUCAGUCAGAGGCUGGUCCUUCUGCCCAGAAUGCCUUCUGCCCAGAAUGCCUUCUGCCCAUCCCCAGCAUCAGGCUGAGCGGGGCUGCAGGGCCCACGCCCGUCUCAGAUCUGAGCUCAGAGAGGCUCAGCUCUGAAUCCUGUGUGACCUCAGGCUGGUUACUUCACCCCUCUCAUUUUCCAUUUUCUUUCUCUCUUCUUUUUUACUUUAACUUUCAUUUUCAAUAAAAUUAAUAACAGGUACACAUUUUUAAAGGACAAAUAGAAUUACAAGGCUUAUAAUGAAGAAUGCCAGUCCCCUCCCUCCUCUCUGCCCCACCCUGGGUCCUCCCCUCAAAGGCAGCCAUUUGCACUCUUCUAGAUGUUUCUUCUGGUUCUCACCUUAUUCUGUAUCAGUGACAAGCUGUUACUGACAAUUACUGAUUUUUCACUUUUUAGAUUCGAUUCAAUCACUGCCUGUGGCGGAAAGACAAGGAUUUAGCUGUCAGACCCUCACACCGCGACACGGGAACAGUGGCUCCCCUGCCCUGUCUGCCCAGCAUGGCCAGGCCCCCUUGGUCUCUCUCCCCUGUAGCAGGGCUGUCUCCUUGUGCUACCAAAGCUCUUAAUGUCAGAUUGGUGCACCGUGCACAGUAAGCCGAUCAUGGAGUCAGGGUCCUUGGGGAUGGAGAGAGGGUUAUUCAAACUGGCCAGAACGAGAAGGCAGGAGGAUAGGUUCUCUCAAAUCCGCCUUAAUAAAAGAAGAAAGCAGGGGCUUUUUAUAGGGCCAUGGGGCUUAGGAGGAAGUGUUCUGAAGAAACAAAGGGGAAAUCCAUGUUUCUUUCACUCCAGACAAGCCCCUGGGCAGUUGGACUUCUGGCCCUCCGUGGCAGCUGGGGGCAGGUUAUCUGGUCAUCUAACUUCCUUAAAGGCCUUCUGCGCCCUCUGCAAAACAUGCUCAUAAAUCCUUGUGGCCCUCGAGAUCCCC
rnacentral:lncRNA from 1 species